rfam:Photobacterium gaetbulicola Gung47 chromosome 2, complete sequence.
UUAUUACUGAGUAUAUGGGGGCAUGGGCACAAGAUUCAACGGGAUAUGUAUCAGAAAAUAAAAAAGGAGGCGAUAGCCUCCUUUUUUUGACCGUA